AUUGAACGCUGGCGGCAGGCCUAACACAUGCAAGUCGAGCGGAUGAAGGGAGCUUGCUCCUGGAUUCAGCGGCGGACGGGUGAGUAAUGCCUAGGAAUCUGCCUGGUAGUGGGGGAUAACGUCCGGAAACGGGCGCUAAUACCGCAUACGUCCUGAGGGAGAAAGUGGGGGAUCUUCGGACCUCACGCUAUCAGAUGAGCCUAGGUCGGAUUAGCUAGUUGGUGGGGUAAAGGCCUACCAAGGCGACGAUCCGUAACUGGUCUGAGAGGAUGAUCAGUCACACGGGAACUGAGACACGGUCCAGACUCCUACGGGAGGGAGCAGUGGGGAAUAUUGGACAAUGGGCGAAAGCCUGAUCCAGUCAUGCCGCGUGUGUGAAGAAGGUCUUCGGAUUGUAAAGCACUUUAAGUUGGGAGGAAGGGCAGUAAGUUAAUACCUUGCUGUUUUGACGUUACCAACAGAAUAAGCACCGGCUAACUUCGUG
rnacentral:rRNA from 1 species